UGUCGUCAGCUCGUGUUGUGAAAUGUUGGGUUAAGUCCCGCAACGAGCGCAACCCUUAUCCUUUGUUGCCAGCGGUCCGGCCGGGAACUCAAAGGAGACUGCCAGUGAUAAACUGGAGGAAGGUGGGGAUGACGUCAAGUCAUCAUGGCCCUUACGACCAGGGCUACACACGUGCUACAAUGGCGCAUACAAAGAGAAGCGACCUCGCGAGAGCAAGCGGACCUCAUAAAGUGCGUCGUAGUCCGGAUUGGAGUCUGCAACUCGACUCCAUGAAGUCGGAAUCGCUAGUAAUCGUGGAUCAGAAUGCCACGGUGAAUACGUUCCCGGGCCUUGUACACACCGCCCGUCACACCAUGGGAGUGGGUUGCAAAA
rnacentral:rRNA from 1 species